GCUGGAUUCGCUAGUAAUCGCGCAUCAGCCACGGCGCGGUGAAUACGUUCCCGGGCCUUGUACACACCGCCCGUCAAGCCAUGGAAGCCGGGAGUGCCUGAAGUGCGUGACCGCAAGGAGCGUCCUAAGGCAAUACCGGUGACUGGGGCUAAGUCGUAACAAGGUACC
rnacentral:rRNA from 1 species